UGUGUCGCUCUCCGGCCACGCCCAUCCCCCCGGAGGUCCAAGUCCUCUCCUCGGCCUCCUGCCACCCCGGCGUGGGCGAGGAGCAGGUGGAGCUUCUCUGCCUCAUCUCGGGCUUCUCGCCGGCCACCGUGGAGGUGGAGUGGUUGGUGGACGGCAUCAACGGGUUGGUGACGGCCACCACGAGCAGCCCGCGGCGCCAAGAUGGCGGCGUCUACUCGGCCACCAGCAGGACCAACGUCAGCCGGGUGGACUGGUUGGAGGGGAAGACCUUCAGCUGCCAAGUGCGCCACCCGGCCAGCGGCACCGUGGUGCAGGACCACGCCCGCUUCUGCGCAG